GAUGAACGCUGGCGGCGUGCCUAAUACAUGCAAGUCGAGCGAACAGACGAGGAGCUUGCUCCUCUGACGUUAGCGGCGGACGGGUGAGUAACACGUGGAUAACCUACCUAUAAGACUGGGAUAACUUCGGGAAACCGGAGCUAAUACCGGAUAAUAUAUUGAACCGCAUGGUUCAAUAGUGAAAGACGGUUUUGCUGUCACUUAUAGAUGGAUCCGCGCCGCAUUAGCUAGUUGGUAAGGUAACGGCUUACCAAGGCAACGAUGCGUAGCCGACCUGAGAGGGUGAUCGGCCACACUGGAACUGAGACACAGUCCAGACUCCUACGGGAGGCAGCAGUAGGGAAUAUUCCGCAAUGGGCGAAAGCCUGACGGAGCAACGCCGCGUGAGUGAUGAAGGUCUUCGGAUCGUAAAACUCUGUUAUUAGGGAAGAACAAAUGUGUAAGUAACUAUGCACGUCUUGACGGUACCUAAUCAGAAAGCCACGGCUAACUACGUG
rnacentral:rRNA from 1 species